UACGAAGGGGGGCUAGCGUUGUUCGGAAUUACUGGGCGUAAAGCGCGUGUAGGCGGGUCUUUAAGUCAGGGGUGAAAUGCCAGGGCUCAACCUUGGAACUGCCUUUGAUACUGGAGACCUUGAGUCCGGGAGAGGUGAGUGGAAUUGCGAGUGUAGAGGUGAAAUUCGUAGAUAUUCGCAAGAACACCAGUGGCGAAGGCGGCUCACUGGCCCGGAACUGACGCUGAGACACGAAAGCGUGGGUAGCAAACAGG
rnacentral:rRNA from 1 species